UACGUAGGGGGCUAGCGUUGUCCGGAUUUAUUGGGCGUAAAGAGCGUGUAGGCGGCCAGGUAGGUCUGCUGUGAAAACUCGAGGCUCAACCUCGAGACGUCGGCGGAAACCAUCUGGCUAGAGUCCGGAAGAGGAGAGUGGAAUUCCUGGUGUAGCGGUGAAAUGCGCAGAUAUCAGGAAGAACACCCGUGGUGAAGGCGGCUCUCUGGGACGGUACUGACGCUGAGACGUGAAAGCGUGGGGAGCGAACAGG
rnacentral:rRNA from 1 species